GACCAGACUCCUACGGGAGGCAGCAGUGAGGAAUAUUGGUCAAUGGCCGAGAGGCUGAACCAGCCAAGUCGCGUGAGGGAAGACGGCCCUACGGGUUGUAAACCUCUUUUGUCGGGGAGCAAAGCGAGUCACGUGUGACUCAUUGAGAGUACCCGAAGAAAAAGCAUCGGCUAACUCCGUGCCAGCAGCCGCGGUAAUACGGAGGAUGCGAGCGUUAUCCGGAUUUAUUGGGUUUAAAGGGAGCGUAGGCCGGCUUUUAAGUCAGCUGUGAAAGUCCGCGGCUCAACCGUGGAAUUGCAGUUGAAACUGGAGGCCUUGAGUGCACACAGGGAUGCCGGAAUUCAUGGUGUAGCGGUGAAAUGCUUAGAUAUCAUGAAGAACUCCGAUCGCGAAGGCAGCAUACCGGCGCCCAACUGACGCUGAAGCACGAAAGCGUGGGUAUCGAACAGGAUUAGAUACCCGUGUAC
rnacentral:rRNA from 1 species